rnacentral:rRNA from 1 species
UACAGAGGUGGCAAGCGUUGUUCGGAAUUACUGGGCGUAAAGGGCGCGUAGGCGGCCUUGUAAGUCUCGUGUGAAAUCCCUUGGCUCAACUGAGGAACUGCACGGGAUACUGCUGGGCUUGAGUUCGGGAGAGGGAAGCGGAAUUCCGGGUGUAGCGGUGAAAUGCGUAGAUAUCCGGAGGAACAUCGGUGGCGAAGGCGGCUUCCUGGACCGACACUGACGCUGAGGCGCGAAAGCUAGGGGAGCAAACGGG